GUAAAUAAUGAUAUCAACCCGUUUAAGUUAUGUAUUUGACUUUUUUCACAAUACAUCGCAUUUAAGGACAUGCACAUACACUGGCUACAGAUAAUGUAUCACUAUCGAGUGGUUAUCCUGACAUGAACUGCAAAAAACGUCGCAGAUCUUCAAUGCCUUGGUUUGUGGACGCUUGAGUACUUGAGAUGUCUGGCAGUCACGCUGCAGGUUUUUUGCACCAACUGGAAGUGCGAUGUUUAUUGGUUCCAGCCAAAAAGGACUUCUCUCAGGUUCUAGGCACCAAUGAUGCCUAAGUACAGUGUACUAGCAGCUGAUUUAUUUAAAGACGAUUAUAUGUGACAUGCUCUGCAUGUACAUAUCUGUAGCCAAAGGCAAUAACUAGACAACCUUGACUGACAGUGCAUAAAGAAACUACCUUAGAAGUAUACUACAUACUUGGAAUCAUUGCCAUAAGACUUAAUAUUUAAAAUCCCUAAUCAUCACUCAUUGGCAUUCAAAAUACAGAAACGUUACAAGCUUGUGUGUGCCCAGUGUUGGUUUAAACACGUCAUACAUUUGGUAUCGUUUAAAAGGAUGAUCCAACAAUGUUGGCAAACUGAUUGGACAUCUUGUUACUAAAGCAAGCAGUGGGUAAACCUUAUAUUCGAUGUAAUGUAAUUUUGCAUGAUACUGCUAUUUACUGAAAGGGAACUUUUGAAGAUGGUGUGCUGGGUCGUAUACCCUUAUUCUUUCAUCAAAAGGUGAUUCAGCUGAUGACAUGAACAUCUGCAGACUGAAAGACAUCUUUAAUUCUAACACCAGUGAGACAUUUUAAUGAAAAGGCUCAAAGUGGUCAAUAUAUUUAUGCAUUCCCCUCAAUUUGAAGACUUCGUUUAUCGUUUGAGGGUGUUUGUCUUGAAAAACAUGGUAUAAGAUAUAAUACAUAGCAUAUUGAUUAAAUAUAAUAAUAUUUUUAUGCAAAUGCAUUGAUUUGAUUAUACCCACUGAAAUGUGUAUAUUUAAGGUUUUUGUUAUUUUUUGCAUGUCAAUCAGUAUAUACACACUGUACAAGUACAUAGUAUGUGUUGUAAAUUGAUAAAGUGUGUAGUUUUAAUGAGAAUAUGAUUAUGUAUGUUCCGAAGUGUUGAAAAUUAAAGUGUAAAAGUGUAUUAGUAUGCCCCCUUCGAAGAAGAGGUGUAUAUUGCUUUGCACAUGUCGGUCGGUAUGUCGGUCCGUUGGUAGACCAAAGCUUGUUCGACUGAUAACUCAGCAAUUCCUAGACGUAUGGUCCUCAAACUUGACAUGAAGGUUGGGCCUGACCAGUAUAUGACCCCUAUUGAUUUAAGGGCUCAUCGGGUCAAAGGUCAAGGUCACAGUGACCUUUAAUGGUAAAAUAAUUUUAAAGCUUGUCCGAGUGAUAACUCAACAAUGCCUAGACCUAUGGUAAUCAAACUUGAUAUGGAAGUUGGGCCUGACCAGUAGAUGACCCCUAUUUUUUGGGGGAUCAUCGGGCCAAAGGUCAAGGUCACAGUGACCUUGAAUGGUAAAAGGUUGUCCGAGUGAUAACUCGACAAUGCCUGCACCCAUAGUCCUCAUACUUGACUUGGAGGUUGGGCCUGACAAGUAGAUGACCCCUAUUGUUUUUGGGGGUCAUCGGGCCAAAGGUCAAGGUCACAGUGACCUUGAAUGGAAAAAGGUUGUCCAAGUGAUAACUUGACAAUGCCUGCACCCAUGGCCCUCAAACUUGACUUGGGGAUUGGGCCUGACCAAUAGAUGACCCCUAUUGUUUUUGGGGGUCAUCGGGCCAAAGGACAAGGUCACAGUGACCUUGAAUGGGAAUAGGUUGUCCGUGUAAUAACCCGACAAUGCCUGCACCCAUGGCCCUCAAACUUGACUUGGAGGUUGGGCCUGACCAGUAGAUGGCCCCUUUUGAUUUUAGGGGUCAACGGUCAAGGUCGAAGUGAUCUUGAAAGCAAACUCGACAAUUCCUGGACCUAUGGUCAUCAAACUUGGCAUGAAGGUUGGGCCUGGCCAGUAGAUGACCCCUCUUGACAUUGGGGUUAUCGGGCCAAGGUCAAGGUCACAGUAACCUUUAACGCAAAAAAGUUAAAAAAUCUUCUCCCAGUGAUAUCUCAACAAUAACUGAACCUAUGAUCAUCAAACUUGACAUGGAAGUUGGGCCUGACCAGGAAAUGACCCUUAUUGAUUUUAGGAGUCAUUGGGUCAAAGGUCAAGUUCACAGUGACCUUCAAUGCGAAAAUGUUUCGAGUGAUAACUCGACAAUGCCUGCACCCAUGGCCCUCAAACCUGACUUAGAGUUGUGUCUGACCUGUAGAUGACCCCUUAUGAUUUUAGGGGUCAAAGGUCAAGGUCACAGUGACCUUGAAUGAAAAAAGCUCGUCUGUGUGAUAACUUGUCAAUGCCUGCACCCAUGGCUCUCAAACUUGACAUUUAGAUUUUUGGUGACCAGCUGAUGACUCCUAUGUAUUUUGAGGUCAAAGGUCAUGGUCGUUACACACUCUAUCCUCACACUUUGAAUGGUCAUAAUCUUAAAACUGCCUCAACGGCAUCCAAUGUCAGUGACAAAUCAGCUGUCAUUUCGGUCCAUGCAUAUUUCAUUCAAUUGUCCAUAUAAUCCUGACAACAUGGCGCUCAGGUGGGGCAUAAUGUUUGACAAACAUCUCUUGUUUAACUUGAUUUGCAGUUGAUGUAGAACUUUGCAUUGAAUGAUAACCCUCAAAUGUUAUGUUGUGAGGUCUGGGGUUAUUUUAUUUCAGUAUAAUACUUGUACAUUUAAAAAA